CCUCUAGCUGUCUCCCUAGAGCUGUUUCCUGCAGCUCUUCCUGCCUUGCUCUUUCAACCCCACUGGGAUCCAACCAGCCUGGGCCCUUCUCAUCCCCACUGCCCCCUAAAGGGCACGAAAGCCUCAGAGGAGGGCUGCCACACCCUUUUCCAGCCUCCAUAGGGCCACCCAAGUGACCAGCUAAAGAUUUUCAAAGGAUGAUUCAAAGCUACAAUUACAGCUGUCUGUUUGGUGACUUCCAGGUUUUCCACUAGAGCUGUGUCCCCCAGGAAGUUCCCUGAGGCAGAGGAGAGGCGGGACAGCAAGUUGUCCUCCAAUGUUUUCAAAGUUAUUUUGAAUCCAUUUUGCUGCUUUGUGAGAUCAGACUGUAAAGAGUUGAAGUUCGGACAGAAAAACAUAUACUGUCAUCUUCAUUUUUACAGUGAACAUUUCCUCAAACCACCACAUGAUGGAUGUCCUUUCUUUGGUAAACUCAGUUUUGUCUACACCAGAAGUUCUUAACCUGGACUCCAUGGAUGCCCUGAGGGUCCAUGGAGCAAGUCCAGGUGGUUCGUGGGAAAACUCUGCUGCAAUGAAUUUAAUCUACUUCCUGCAAAGACAUGGUUGGUGCAUGUAUGAAUCUAAUCUAUAAGCUUUGGAGGCUGCUCUUGGGCGUUUUAACAGCGUAGAAGAAUAUAUGGACAACAAUAGUUUUUAGCAUUCCUC